GGCGGAUUCCGGGUUCGGGACUCCCCGCCGGAUCCCAGGACGGGCCUGCGGACGCCGGCCUAGGUCGCAGGGGUGCGCCUCGGAGUCCCGUGUUCGUGCCCAGCCUUUUGAGAAAGCCUGAAGGCAUUGGACCCGCUGAAACCCGACUGGUAGACCGUCCUGAGCUACCGUAUGUGGUGCUGGGAGCCAAGCCCUGCGUCUUCUGCCUCUGAGCCCUAUCUCUCCUGCCCGUGAAUAAACUAUUUUUUCGACUGUUAAUGGAGUUCAGGAUGGCCUAGAACCCUGGACGCCCCUGCCCCAGGGUCCACUGUGCAGGUGUGCACCCCAUGCACCUGCAGUUAAAUGUAUAUUAAAUAUAUAAACUUAAGUAAAUUUUAAUAUUUUUGACCGUAGGA